rnacentral:rRNA from 1 species
GAUGAACGCUAGCGACAGGCCUAACACAUGCAAGUCGAGGGGCAGCAUAAAGGUAGCAAUACUUUGGUGGCGACCGGCGCACGGGUGAGUAACACGUAUGCAACCUACCUGUAAGAGGGGAAUAACCCGGAGAAAUUCGGACUAAUACCGCAUAAUACCUCGAAGCUGCAUGGCUUUGAGGUUAAAUAUUUAUAGCUUACAGAUGGGCAUGCGUAUGAUUAGCUAGUUGGUGAGGUAACGGCUCACCAAGGCAACGAUCAUUAGGGGUUCUGAGAGGAAGGUCCCCCACAUUGGAACUGAGACACGGUCCAAACUCCUACGGGAGGCAGCAGUGAGGAAUAUUGGUCAAUGGGCGAGAGCCUGAACCAGCCAAGUCGCGUGAAGGAAGAAGGUUCUAUGGAUUGUAAACUUCUUUUGUAAGGGAAUAAAGUUCACCACGUGUGGUGUUUUGUAUGUACUUUACGAAUAAGGAUCGGCUAACUCCGUGCCAGCAGCCGCCGUAACAC